GUCAUUGAUGUGCUGUUCUGCUGUUGCUAUUGCUGGUUGUUGUUUAAUGGCGGUUCAUCGCCGGAAAUGGCAGCCACAUGCUGCUCCUUUUGUCUUUCGGUUUCACUGAAGAGUCAUUUAGACCAAGAUAGUUGUUUAACUGUGAUUCGAAAAGGUACAUGAAGGUAAUGUAUAAUGAAGAAGGUUCGAUGUUGGAAGUUUGUUGUAUGCUUUAUACUAUUUGUAUCGCGGCGAGGACGAUCAACUUUGUAAUAUUAUAGUUAAUAGUUAAUUUGUAAUUGAAUUAAAAAGGUUUGAGUUUGUAAAGUCUAGAUUUGAUUGGGUUGCUGGAUUUUGAGGAUACAGGAUUACGAAUCGGACGCGAGUCCUAAAUUAAGUUUUAGGCGGUCCGUAUUACAAAGGGAACUCUGCCGAAUUUUCUGUAGAA